rnacentral:rRNA from 1 species
AGUGAACGCUGGCGGUAGGCCUAACACAUGCAAGUCGAACGGCAGCACAGUAAGAGCUUGCUCUUACGGGUGGCGAGUGGCGGACGGGUGAGGAAUACAUCGGAAUCUACUUUUUCGUGGGGGAUAACGUAGGGAAACUUACGCUAAUACCGCAUACGACCUACGGGUGAAAGCAGGGGAUCUUCGGACCUUGCGCGAUUGAAUGAGCCGAUGUCGGAUUAGCUAGUUGGCGGGGUAAAGCCCACCAAGGCGACGAUCCGUAGCUGGUCUGAGAGGAUGAUCGGCCACACUAGAACUGAGACACGGUCCAGACUCCUACGGGAGGCAGCAGUGGGGAAUAUUGGACAAUGGGCGCAAGCCUGAUCCAGCCAUACCGCGUGGGUGAAGAAGGCCUUCGGGUUGUAAAGCCCUUUUGUUGGGAAAGAAAAGCAGCAGGUUAAUACCCCGCUGUUCUGACGGUACCCAAAGAAUAAGCACCGGCUAACUUCGUG